rnacentral:rRNA from 1 species
AACGAACGCUGGCGGCAGGCCUAACACAUGCAAGUCGAACGCCACCCCAGGGUCUUGUCGCGCAUGGGAGUGUCGCGUGGGGGCAUCCGCUCUUAUGCUUGGGAUCCCCCUUCGACUGGGGUGAUAACCUCGGAUAACCUACUCGGACAAAAGAUAUAUCGCGUUAGGAUGGGCGCGCGUUGGAUUAGCUAGUUGGUAGGGUAAAAGCCUACCAAGGCGAAGAUCCAUAGCUGGUCUGAGAGGAUGAUCAGCCACACUGGGACUGAGACACGGCCCAGACUCCUACGGGAGGCAGCAGUGGGGAAUAUUGGACAAUGGGCGAAAGCCUGAUCCAGCAAUGCCGCGUGAGUGAUGAAGGCCUUAGGGUUGUAAAGCUCUUUUACCGAUGAAGAUAAUGACGGUACCCGGAGAAGAAGCACCGGCUAACUUCGUG